rnacentral:rRNA from 1 species
CGCCAGUUUUGGCGGAGCCAUCCUUGGGAUACCACCCUUGUAGUACUGGGACUCUAACCAUAGGCCAUGAAUCUGGUCUUGGGACACUGUCAGGUGGGCAGUUUGACUGGGGCGGUCGCCUCCCAAAAGGUAACGGAGGCGCUCAAAGGUUCUCGCAGUACGGUCGGAAAUCGUACGUAGAGUGUAAAGGCAAAAGAGAGCUAGAUUGCAAGACAUACAGGUCGAGCAAGGAUGAAAAUCGGACUUAGUGAUCCGGUGGUUCUGCGUGGAAGGGCCAUCGCU